UUGUUUUUUUUUCUAUAAUGUCCUGUUGUUUUUUUUUUGAUCUAACGAAGGCAUGUAUUGUUCGUUUGGAUUAACACUUGUUUUGUUUGCAGGAUGCUAUUGUGCGGAAGGAUUUCGGUAAAAAUCCUGCAAAUGGCAUCCUGCAAGAUGAAUGUCCUUGCGCUGCUGAUAAUUUUUUUUUGUGAGAACGGCAGCAAAAGGAGUAGUAGUAAUGUUGUUAUACCCCCCAGUGUGUCAAUUGAAUGUGGUGUCUCUCCUCUGUUCACAGAACGUCGCCUGUCUCGGCUGGGAGCGACCAGCUCGUAGUGUGAACUGCUAUAGCAGUAACCUCGCAGACGUCGCAUGGGACAACUUUCACGUAACUACAUGGUCGGAUAUCUGUAAAAAAA